rnacentral:rRNA from 1 species
AGUGAACGCUGGCGGUAGGCCUAACACAUGCAAGUCGAACGGCAGCACAGUAAGAGCUUGCUCUUACGGGUGGCGAGUGGCGGACGGGUGAGGAAUACAUCGGAAUCUACUUUUUCGUGGGGGAUAACGUAGGGAAACUUACGCUAAUACCGCAUACGACCUACGGGUGAAAGCAGGGGAUCUUCGGACCUUGCGCGAUUGAAUGAGCCGAUGUCGGAUUUGCUGGUUGGCGGGGUAAAGGCCCCCCAAGGCGACGAUCCGUAGCUGGUCUGGGAGGAUGAUCAGCGACACUGGAACUGAGACACGGUCCAGACUCCUACGGGAGGCAGCAGUGGGGAAUAUUGGACAAUGGGCGCAAGCCUGAUCCAGCCAUACCGCGUGGGUGAAGAAGGCCUUCGGGUUGUAAAGCCCUUUUGUUGGGAAAGAAAAGCAGCAGGUUAAUACCCCGCUGUUCUGACGGUACCCAAAGAAUAAGCACCGGCUAACUUCGUG